rnacentral:misc_RNA from 1 species
GAUGAAGAACGUAGCGAAAUGCGAUAAGUAAUGUGAAUUGCAGAAUUCAGUGAAUCAUCGAAUCUUUGAACGCACCUUGCACCCUUUGGCAUUCCGAAGGGUAUGCUCGUUUGAGUGUCAUUGUACUCUCACACUCUCCGAUCCUAUGGAUUCGGAGAGCGGUGGACUUGGGUGUUGCUGCCUUUCCUUGUGGCUCACCUCAAAUGUGUCAGUGCACCUCUUGGUUGGACAUAGUACGGCGUGAUAAGUGUCUUCGCCGGCACCUCGCAAGAGGGUGGCCGAUCGGGAGCUCUGUGCUUUCAAACCGUCUUCGGACAAUUUCUGACAACUUGACCUCAAAUCGAGUAGGACUACCCGCUGAACUUAAGCAUAUCAAUAAGCGGAGGA